CCUACGGGGGGCAGCAGUAAGGAAUAUUGGUCAGUGGGCGGGAGCCUGAACCAGCCAAGUCGCGUGAGGGAAGACGGUCCUAUGGAUUGUAAACCUCUUUAGGCGGGGAGCAAUGCCGGGCACGCGUGCCCGGAGGGAGAGUACCCGCAGAAUAAGCAUCGGCUAACUCCGUGCCAGCAGCCGCGGUAAUACGGAGGAUGCGAGCGUUAUCCGGAUUUAUUGGGUUUAAAGGGUGCGUAGGCGGGCUGUUAAGCCGGCGGUAAAAUUCAAGGCUCAACCCUGUCGAGCCGUCGGAACUG
rnacentral:rRNA from 1 species